GGCUUUAAAGCGCGGCUUUGUUCCAAAGGCCAUUCUGCAAUGAUGAAGGGGGAUGAUUGAAAAGGGCUCAGCGUGAUACCUCCGUCUGCUGUUGGCAAAGCUUUAAGACUGCUGGGAACUCAGACGAAAGCAUCCUCAGGCUUGGAGAGCUGGACUAAACUGGUCUAACUAGGACACUUGAAGGCUUGUGAAUCAGUUCACAUGAUCAGUGAGAAAGCGGGUAUGAAGAUCCAGAUGCUGGUAUGGACGUGUGCGUGUAAGCGCCCACAGAGGGCACAGAUUAAUUACACUGCUUGUUUGUUGAUGCUGACCAGAAUUUUCAAUCCCCUGAUGCUAUGCUUGGAAC
rnacentral:lncRNA from 13 species